ACGAACGCUGGCGGCGUGCUUAACACAUGCAAGUCGAACGGAAAGGCCCUGCUUUUGUGGGGUACUCGCGUGGCGAACGGGUGAGUAACACGUGAGUAACCUGCCCUUGACUUUGGGAUAACUUCAGGAAACUGGGGCUAAUACCGGAUAGGAGCUCCUGCUGCAUGGUGGGGGUUGGAAAGUUUCGGCGGUUGGGGAUGGACUCGCGGCUUAUCAGCUUGUUGGUGGGGUAGUGGCUUACCAAGGCUUUGACGGGUAGCCGGCCUGAGAGGGUGACCGGCCACAUUGGGACUGAGAUACGGCCCAGACUCCUACGGGAGGCAGCAGUGGGGAAUAUUGCACAAUGGGCGGAAGCCUGAUGCAGCAACGCCGCGUGCGGGAUGACGGCCUUCGGGUUGUAAACCGCUUUCGCCUGUGACGAAGCGUGAGUGACGGUAAUGGGUAAAGAAGCACCGGCUAACUACGUG
rnacentral:rRNA from 1 species